AUCGGUUCGUACUAUCAGUACUUUCCACCUUCUACCGCUCUGUAUCUCCUGCUGUUAUCCUGAAACAAUUCCUGGACAUUGACCGCCUUAAGAUGGCUGGAGUAGAAAGGUUUCGCUGCUGAUUGACAAUCGCUGAUGAUGUCAGGCAAGUCUCCAAGAAUAUGGAACUUCUGAUCUGCUGACUUCCACUGUGACAUGACCAACCAUCACUCUGAUGUCUUGAGGAAAGAAAGGCAGGGAGAAAGUUGCUUAACUGGACCCCAACGUUUAUGAGACAAUGUCCAACACAAAGAUCCCUUAUAAUGAGGGUGUGAAAAGUACUACGACCGUGGGAUAUAUUUUGACUUCCCAGCCGGGUAACUGCAAGAUAACAGCCAGCUAACAUUAGCCAUACAGUAUUAGGUGAAAGUUAUUGAUGUGCAAUUUGCUUUUUUACAUUUUCAUUCGUACUUGUUGGCCUUACAGUUUUUUUUUCAAAGCAUCUACAUAUUUUCUAGCAAGAUUAUUUUAAUUGAAAUCAUGCAAAAAAAUCUCAUCAGAAGCUUUGACAUUUAAGGGUACAGUUUUGAUGUAAACUGCGAUUUGCAUUAGAGGGCGCUACCAUGAGAGAUCCUGAGAUGGUGAGCAAGAGCGAACCUCGAAGGUUGUAUCAAUUGAGAAGAGUAAGUUUUAGGUUUUGCGAUCUCCUUUGCCGCGUAAAGGACAUCAUACAAUGUUAACGGAUAAAGUAUUUGAAAGGAAUCACUGAGGAAAACCUAUCAAAUAAUUAUCUGGAACAAGGUUGGAUAUAAUGAAAGUGCUCAAAUUGGUUUACAAAUCAUGUAAUACCCUUAUCGACUUUAAUGUAUAGGUUGUAUAUUUGACCACCAGACAUCUAAACUAGUGCACAAAGAUCUCUGACUGAUUUGGAAAAAUAAAAAAUUCGCUGGAGGACGACAAUGUGUGUUGAUGGCGGUGGGAACGGAAUCAUCAAGUGUGCAUACCCGGCCACUGCCUCUGUCACUAACGUUGAAGUGUUAUCUGAGGGGGUUAAAUUUACAACUUCCUCUGCUUUGGUUGAGCAAACUCAACAGUCAUAAAGUCAUCUAAAGACACAAAGACAUAAUUCUCAUUCCCAGAAGAAAGCGUGUUUAUUUAUCUGAAGCCAACUACGGAAAAGAUUAAUAAAAUGAAGAAGAGUGUGAUCGAUUGGUAACAAGAGAACAGAACCGCGACCAAUACACUGGACAAUUAAAAUACCCACGAUAUCAAAUGCAAUGUACCCUAAAAGGCCUGCGCAUUGCAUGAAGCUUCCUUGAAAUCGUCCCUUAUGUGUAAAAAAAACUUCAGUAGAACAAUUUUGGAAUUUACAUUUUCUGAAGCCACAGAUUGUUUUGGGUAUUUCUGAAUUGAUUCGGGAGGGUAGUAGACAUGCUUAAUCUUACUGCAACAGUUCGCAAAUACGAACAAAACCUAUUUAUAUGAAAUAAAGUGUUACCAUACCGUAAUAUUUAUAUAGAAAUAAUAUCUAUUAAUGAAUAUUGUUACUUACCGUCGCUUUGGAAAUAAACGUGUAUAUUUCAUGACAGACCAUAUAAAUAUCUAAAAAUACGAAUGCCAUUCUCUUCGCGUGAAUAUGAUUUCUGCUUCAUA